CCUUGACAAGUAUCUAUAUAAGCAAGCUUCUGCUAUCUGUAUUACACAAUACAGUAAACAAGUUAACAACUAGUGAUGGCUAGUCAGUCAACAGGACUCAAUGCUGCAUCAAGGACCCCAUUAGGACUGGAACAUCUUGACAUUGUGCUCAAAGCAUGUAAAGGAUGCAGUGCUGAUUGGGAAAGACUAGGACUGACAUUAGGCCUCCAUAAUGACACAAUAAAAGAGAUUGAGAGGGAUAAAAAUAAAUGCACUGAGCAAAUGAGAGUAAUGCUGUCAGAGUGGCUGAAAGGGAAUUACGAGGUUUCAAACAACUAUCCAGAACCAUCCCAACAUUCACUGUGUAUUGCAGUAGCUGGGAUUGACAGAAGCCUGGCAGAAACUAUAAGCAAUGAUCCAUCAUUCAGUGACAUUAAUAAUAUACAAGGAUCCAAUAACAGCAGACCUCUAUACACAACACAAGAAUUGAUGCAGUUCUGUACUUGCACCCAAUGUGAACUAGAGACAAUAAUCACCACAGGCUGCCCUCAAAGAAGAGAAGACUUCCAUCCUCUUAACAUCAAACGACUUUCACAAAAACAGAGGGAUGUAUACUUGUGUCACGCAAUAACAGAAAUACGAGAGGUCAAGAAAGAAUGGACCCGCGCUUACAUCCGAAUCACACAAUCAAUAUCAAGAAAUACUGAGAUAUCAGUGUCUUACUUAAAAACCAUCAUAACAACACUGGAUUGGUUUGGAGCAGCAAAAGAUAAAAGCCCUCGUCUCCAGCAAUUGAAUGAGUGCCAAGACAAGGAAAGCAUUUUUGAAGUGUAUGCACAAAUAUGCUCAUGGCUGAACCAUCAUCCUCUAGGAGAAAUAGUUCAUGAAUGUGGAACAGAAAAUGAGAAACAAGAAUAUGAAAAAUACAUUGCCAAAAAAGAACGAUUCCUACGUCACUCAAUAACAUUUUUCACUGACUUGUGCAGUCAGGAUCUUGGAGGAGCAGUCACUGAAGUAAAACUGUUUCGCUUCAAAUUAGACACGGAGCUAAGCCAUGAUGUGCUGGAUGGUACCAUCCUCCCAUUCCUUCAAGGAGAAGUAGCCAAACUUCUCAACAUAUCUCAAAUGAAUUUCUACAUUUUGUCGCUUAGAGAGGGCUGCCUUGAAAUUGUUUUCUCGAUUCCUGAAAUUACAUAUAACAAAUACGUUCCGCUGACACUCGAUCGCUCAAGGGCAUUGGAAAACUUGACUAAUGAGCCAGUAGGACUGAAAUUCAAAUCAAUGUAUUACUCAGAUGUAGAUGUUCAUACUUUGAGUGCUGAUUCUGAUGAGCAAGGCAUAUCAUUGACUGAUACCAACGGUGAAACCAAAAGCGACAACACCAUAACUGAUGAUACACUAUGCACACCUGAAAUAUCAGAUGAGGCAAGAAAGCAUCAAUUGGGUUCAAAUAAUCCCAAACAUGAAGAUGAUCCUCUUGAUAUCAAAGAAACAAAUUUAUCAGAGAGAAUAAGUAAACAAAAUGAGGCAGACAUUGAACUGGACCAUAUUUUAAAGUCAGGUCGCAUAAGAGGAAGACGGCCACAAAUAUCAAUGAGACACUCGCUUUCAUCGGAAUUGGUGGAGUCAAAUGAUUUUUAAUGUCCAAAUUAAAAAAGACAAAAAGGAAUAAUGACUUAAUUGUUGUCAAGUUGUCCAUGUACUUGAAUGAACUCAUAAAAUAGAAUUUUAUUCGUGGGCUUCAACUAUUGUAAUCAAAUAAAGUUCACUUCACAUAAGACACAAGGUAAAUACUCAGGACAGAGAUGUGAGCGAGAUCUUAUUAAUAAAUAAGCACUAAGGUGUAAUGCUAACUGCAUUGUGUAGAAAGAUGGUCACAUGACUCUCAUACAGUUCAGUACAGUAGCAUUUAUGACAUUGUGUAGAUUACAAUGUUAAUAAUAACUACAAUAAGCACACAGGAAAUCAAAAUGGCUCCACAAAAUUUCCAAAAAUUGAAAGCACUAAGGUGCACAUAUAAUCCACAUUCAAUCUGUAAUUAAAAAUACAUGUAGUUUGCUUAUAAUUAGGUUUGAGAGAA